GCGAAUGAUUAAACAUUUUUUAACACCUAGCGCUCGCGCUAUGAAGAUUAAAAACGCAACACAACUACUCUAAUUUUUUCCUGACG
rnacentral:snoRNA from 1 species